GUAGCUCUCCAAGAAAGUAUGUCCCUCCAUCCCUGGUGAGAAGCAUUGACAGAAAAUAGAAUACAUCUUUGGCGACGUGUCCUCUACUUCACAAUACUCUAUGAGCUUCCUCUCGGCCCUCUCCCAGCCAAGACUCAGAGAUAAGGCCCAGGGAGUCCUAAGAAAAAAGACGCUUCUCCAGUAUCACACAGCAAAACAGCAGACCAUGGACUUGAAAGUGGGUGAGGAAACAGAGGCUCUGGGAGCUCUCGCCUGAAGCCAUUCGCUGUCCGCUGGGCCGGUGGCGCUCACCCUGCACCGCGCUGCCCUGCCCGGGGCACUAUGGCCUGGGGCUGGACUAUGCCCUCCCCACCUCACCCGGCGC